UACGAAGGGGGCUAGCGUUGUUCGGAAUUACUGGGCGUAAAGCGCACGUAGGCGGACAUUUUAAGUCAGGGGUGAAAUCCCAGAGCUCAACUCUGGAACUGCCUUUGAUACUGGGUGUCUUGAGUAUGGAAGAGGUGAGUGGAAUUCCGAGUGUAGAGGUGAAAUUCGUAGAUAUUCGCAAGAACACCAGUGGCGAAGGCGGCUCACUGGCCCGGUACUGACGCUGAGGUGCGAAAGCGUGGGGAGCGAACAGG
rnacentral:rRNA from 1 species